rnacentral:rRNA from 1 species
GGACGAAAGUCUGAACCAGCCAUGCCGCGUGCAGGAUGACUGCCCUAUGGGUUGUAAACUGCUUUUAUAUAGGAAGAAAAACUUUCUCGUGAGAAAGCUUGACGGUACUAUAAGAAUAAGGAUCGGCUAACUCCGUGCCAGCAGCCGCGGUAAUACGGAGGAUCCAAGCGUUAUCCGGAAUCAUUGGGUUUAAAGGGUCCGUAGGUGGACAAAUAAGUCAGAGGUGAAAUCCUGCAGCUCAACUGUAGAACUGCCUUUGAUACUGUUUGUCUUGAGUUAUUAUGAAGUGGUUAGAAUGUGUAGUGUAGCGGUGAAAUGCAUAGACAUUACACAGAAUACCGAUUGCGAAGGCAGAUCACUAAUAAUCAACUGACACUGAUGGACGAAAGCGUGGGUAGCGAACAGGAUUAGAUACCCUGGUAGUCCACGCCGUAAACGAUGGUCACUAGCUGUUUGGACUUCGGUCUGAGUGGCUAAGCGAAAGUGAUAAGUGACCCACCUGGGGAGUACGUUCGCAAGAAUGAAACUCAAAGGAAUUGACGGGGGCCCGCACAAGCGGUGGAGCAUGUGGUUUAAUUCGAUGAUACGCGAGGAACCUUACCAGGGCUUAAAUGUUAGGUGACAGAUCUAGAAAUAGAUUUUUCUUCGGACACUUAACAAGGUGCUGCAUGGUUGUCGUCAGCUCGUGCCGUGAGGUGUCAGGUUAAGUCCUAUAACGAGCGCAACCCCUGUUGUUAGUUGCCAGCGAGUAAUGUCGGGAACUCUAGCAAGACUGCCAGUGCAAACUGUGAGGAAGGUGGGGAUGACGUCAAAUCAUCACGGCCCUUACGUCCUGGGCUACACACGUGCUACAAUGGUAGGUACAGAGAGCAGCCAAUGCGCGAGCAUGAGCAAAUCUAUAAAACCUAUCUCAGUUCGGAUCGGAGUCCGCAACUCGACUCCGUGAAGCUGGAAUCGCUAGUAAUCGGAUAUCAGCCAUGAUCCGGUGAAUACGUUCCCGGGCCUUGUACACACCGCCCGUCAAGCCAUGGAAGUUGGGAGUGCCUGAAGUCCGUUUCCGCAAGGAUCGGCCUAGGGUAAAAUCGAUAACUAGGGCUAAGUCGUAACAAGGUAGCCGUACCGGAAGGUGCGGCUGGAACACCUCCUUUCU